AAUCAACGCUGGCGGCGUGCCUCAGACAUGCAAGUCGAACGAUUAAAGCUCUCUUCGGAGAGUGUAUAGAGUGGCGCACGGGUGAGUAACACGUAAGUAAUCUACCCUCGAGUGGGGAAUAACAACCGGAAACGGUUGCUAAUACCGCAUAAUGCAGCGGCACCGCAAGGUGACAGUUGUUAAAGAUUUAUCGCUUGAGGAGGAGCUUGCGGCAGAUUAGCUAGUUGGUAGGGUAACGGCUUACCAAGGCUACGAUCUGUAACCGGUCUAAGAGGACAGUCGGUCACACUGACACUGAAUAACGGGUCAGACUCCUACGGGAGGCAGCAGUCGGGAAUUUUGGGCAAUGGGCGAAAGCCUGACCCAGCAACGCCGCGUGAAGGAUGAAGUAUUUCGGUAUGUAAACUUCGAAAGAAUAGGAAGAAUUAAUGACGGUACUAUUUAUAAGGUCCGGCUAACUACGUG
rnacentral:rRNA from 1 species